rnacentral:rRNA from 1 species
AGUGAACGCUGGCGGUAGGCCUAACACAUGCAAGUCGAACGGCAGCACAGUAAGAGCUUGCUCUUACGGGUGGCGAGUGGCGGACGGGUGAGGAAUACAUCGGAAUCUACUUUUUCGUGGGGGCUAACGUAGGGAAACUUACGCUAAUACCGCAUACGACCUACGGGUGAAAGCAGGGGAUCUUCGGACCUUGCGCGAUUGAAUGAGCCGAUGUCGGGUUAGCUAGUUGGCGGGGUAAAGGCCCACCAAGCGACGAUCCGUAGCUGGUCUGAGAGGAUGAUCAGCCACACUGGAACUGAGACACGGUCCAGACUCCUACGGGAGGCAGCAGUGGGGAAUAUUGGACAAUGGGCGCAAGCCUGAUCCAGCCAUACCGCGUGGGUGAAGAAGGCCUUCGGGUUGUAAAGCCCUUUUGUUGGGAAAGAAAAGCAGCAGGUUAAUACCCCGCUGUUCUGACGGUACCCAAAGAAUAAGCACCGGCUAACUUCGUG